GAAAGAGUGAGGUUGUAAAGGCAUGAUGGAAGUCUUAAAUGUGAGAGGAUACAAAAGCGGACUUGCUAACUAAAUUGUGGUCCCUGGACCAGGAGCAUCAUCUGGGAGCUUGAUAGAAAUGCAGAUCCUCAGACCCCACUGCCUAUUUAUUGGCUCUGAAUAUGCAUUUCAAGCAGCUUCCCAGGUGAUGUGUGUGUAUAUGAAACUCUGAGAAUACUGACAUAGAGAAAACCUCUGUUUUCAGCCUGGCAACAUAAAGAAUAUAUUCAAUAGAAUUUUUCAGUCAGAUACCCAGCUGAUGGAUGCCUAACAUUUGUGUGUUCUUUGCUCCAGCCUGUAGUGGCCUAGG
rnacentral:lncRNA from 1 species